UACGGAGGAUGCGAGCGUUAUCCGGAUUUAUUGGGUUUAAAGGGUGCGUAGGCGGUUCGUUAAGUCAGCGGUAAAAUUGCGGGGCUCAACCCCGUCGAGCCGUUGAAACUGGCAGACUUGAGUUGGCGAGAAGUACGCGGAAUGCGCGGUGUAGCGGCGAAAUGCAUAGAUAUCGCGCAGAACUCCGAUUGCGAAGGCAGCGUACCGGCGCCAGACUGACGCUGAGGCACGAAAGCGUGGGGAUCGAACAGG
rnacentral:rRNA from 1 species